rnacentral:rRNA from 1 species
GAAUUGCAGAAUUCCGCGAAUCAUCGAGUCUUUGAACGCAAGUUGCGCCCGAGGCUCGUCCCGAGGGCAUGCCUGCCUGAGCGUCAC